AAGAAUUCCACGUGUAGCGGUGAAAUGCGUAGAGAUGUGGAGGAACACCAGUGGCGAAGGCGGCUUUUUGGUCUGUAACUGACGCUGAGGCGCGAAAGCGUGGGGAGCAAACAGGAUUAGAUACCCUGGUAGUCCACGCCGUAAACGAUGAGUGCUAAGUGUUAGAGGGUUUCCGCCCUUUAGUGCUGCAGCUAACGCAUUAAGCACUCCGCCUGGGGAGUACGGUCGCAAGACUGAA
rnacentral:rRNA from 1 species